rnacentral:rRNA from 1 species
GGCGGCGUGCCUAAUACAUGCAAGUCGAGCGCGGGAAGCGAACGGAACUCUUCGGAGGGAAGUUCGUGGAACGAGCGGCGGACGGGUGAGUAACACGUAGGCAACCUGCCUGUAAGACUGGGAUAACUCGCGGAAACGCGAGCUAAUACCGGAUAACACUUUCUAUCACCUGAUGGAAAGUUGAAAGGCGGCUUUUGCUGUCACUUACAGAUGGGCCUGCGGCGCAUUAGCUAGUUGGUGAGGUAACGGCUCACCAAGGCGACGAUGCGUAGCCGACCUGAGAGGGUGAUCGGCCACACUGGGACUGAGACACGGCCCAGACUCCUACGGGAGGCAGCAGUAGGGAAUCUUCCGCAAUGGACGAAAGUCUGACGGAGCAACGCCGCGUGAGUGAUGAAGGUUUUCGGAUCGUAAAACUCUGUUGUCAGGGAAGAACAAGUACGAUAGUAACUGAUCGUACCUUGACGGUACCUGACCAGAAAGCCACGGCUAACUACGUGCCAGCAGCCGCGGUAAUACGUAGGUGGCAAGCGUUGUCCGGAAUUAUUGGGCGUAAAGCGCUCGCAGGCGGUUCUUUAAGUCUGAUGUGAAAUCUUGCGGCUCAACCGCAAACGUGCAUUGGAAACUGGAGGACUUGAGUGCAGAAGAGGAGAGUGGAAUUCCACGUGUAGCGGUGAAAUGCGUAGAGAUGUGGAGGAACACCAGUGGCGAAGGCGACUCUCUGGUCUGUAACUGACGCUGAGGAGCGAAAGCGUGGGGAGCGAACAGGAUUAGAUACCCUGGUAGUCCACGCCGUAAACGAUGAGUGCUAGGUGUUAGGGGGUUUCCGCCCCUUAGUGCUGAAGUUAACGCAUUAAGCACUCCGCCUGGGGGAGUACGGCCGCAAGGCUGAAACUCAAAAGAAUUGACGGGGACCCGCACAAGCGGUGGAGCAUGUGGUUUAAUUUCGAAGCAACGCGAAGAAACCUUUACCAGGUCUUUGACAUCCCUUUUGACCGCUCUAGAAGAAUAGAGUUUUCCCUUUCGGGGAACAAGUGACCAGGUUGAUGCCAUGGGAUGUCGUCAGGCUUCGAUGAUCGUGAGCAUGAGGGGCUUAAGCUCCCCGGCCA